GAAACUGCAAAAAACGAAGAAACAAAGAAACUAACAAAACCAAUAAAACGAAGAAAGGAUGGUGAGCUCUGACCUGAUGCGACCUCAGAUUGAGACGAGAUGCGACCUCCGACCUGAUGGCUGCGAUGCGACCUGAGGGCUGAGAAGUGAGACCUGAUGGUGAGCUUGUGCGACCUCCGACCUGACCUGAGGGCUGAGAUUAGAGAGAAAUGGAGCGGCGCCGGCGGCCGUAAAAAUGAGAGUGAGAGGAGAGUGUGAAAUGGAGCGGCGAGGAGAGUGAGAGGAGAGUGUUGAGCUGAGAUUAGAGAGAAAUGGAGCGGCGGCCGUAACAAAGAGAGAGUGAGAGGAGAGUGUUGAGACUUGAGAGAAAUGGAGGAGCGGCGGCACCGUACGGUACGUAAGAGAGAGUGAGUGAGAGAGAGGAGAGUGUUGAGUGAAUUAGGGUUUGUUCAAUUGUUCUCUUUUCAAUUCACUUGGGCCGGGCCGGGUCGGAUUUCCAAAUUGGGGCGGGCUGGCUGACUCACACUCACACACAGCACAUACCACAAAAAAAAAAAAAAAAACUGUUGUAUUUUGUGCGGGCUUUCGGGCAGCCCGGAGCCCGGACGGGCUAGCCCUAACGGGCCAAGGGCUUUUACGGGCCGGGCUAAAAAGCCCUAUUCAAAUUUCGGGCUCCAAUUAUUCGGCCCAAACCCUACAUUUUAUUCGGGCUUUCGGGCCGGCCCUUACGGCCCGGCCCAUUUUGACAGCUUUACCCGGAGGCACUUAUUACUAUUUAAAGUUCAUUUAGAAAUACACCACCUAAAAAAGAUUAAGUACAUUUAUCAUUACCGUUGGAACUUGGAACAAUCAAAUUGACAUGAAUUAAUAAUUCACAAGCCAAGACAUGAUUUAACAACUAGUAAAAGAUAAUCGAUAUUUCAACACAUGGAAAUAAUUAUUCAUAGCACAUAAAUUCACACCUAAAAGAUAAUCGAUAUUUUGAUACAUUGAAAAUUUGUUUGCCCUUAAGAAGAUGGAAGAAAGAAUUGAAAAUCCAAAGCUAAAAUUGGAAUUUUAUGUGUGACAGUGAUUGCCACGUCAUCAAAUUUAUGAUGUGGCAGUAAUUAAGUGGAGAGAAAUGAUAAAAUUUUAAAUGAUAAAAUUUUGGAAGGGAAAAUUGUCAUAAUUAAUGAAUACAAGAAUCAUUUUUUAAAUGACCCCUAUUUAUAAGGACGAAACACAUAUAAAAGCCGUUUACUGAUGAAUAUUGUACUUGCAUAUUUUUUCAGCACACAACAGUCCAAUUUCGGAGGACUUUAAUUUCAUGGCCAAAUUGAUAACUUAUUGAUCUGUAUUGAGUUAUGCUAACAAACACAGUAAGAAUCAAAUACAAAGUAAUGCUUAAACAAUCCAUUAAAAUAAUUUUAUCUUGAAAAUACAAAUCAAAUACAAAAGUAAUAAAUUCACAAUUUUUAUGCAAAAAAUGUUUCUUUUGAAUCCUUAAACAAUACUCCCCGAUCACAUUAUAAGCAAAAAUUUAUUUUUUAGGUUCGUUGAAUACCUAAUGUAUUUGAUCUAUAAAUACAUUAAGUACACAAUGAACUUAAAAAAUAGUUAUUUUGCUUAUAAAUGUGAUCGGAUGAGUACUUCCACCGUCCCAUAUUAAGUAAUAUAGUUGAUUCUGUUACACAUACCAAUACACACACACACAUAUAUAUAUAUAUAUAUAUAUAUAUAUAUAUAUAUUUUAUCUUUAAUCAUCUAUUACAUUUUUUUUUUAAAUAUAAUAUUUUAAAAAUAUUCAUUGAGACGAAUUCAAAAAUAUCUUAUAUGAUACUCGCUCCGUCCUAAUGACCCAUUUGAAAAUGUGCAACAUCGAUCUAACUUAUUUUGACCAUAUUUUUCUAUUAAUAUAUAAAAAUAAAUAAUAUCAUAUAAAAUAUCGUUAGAUGAGUACUUUCAAAAUAUCAAUUUUUUAUAAUUUUUUUUAAUAGAUUAGUAAAGUUAUUUAAGAUCAAAAUUGUGCAUCUAUAUAGAUGAUAAUGUCAACUGCGUCACUUAAUAUGGGACGGAAAAAAUAUUAUUUAUCUUUCUUUUUUGAUGGUGACCGGGGUUUGACUCCCUUACCUUACAUAUUUUAUGAUAAGCUGAAGAUGGUUAAAAUAUAUUAAAUCAAAAUUGUACAUUAUCAAAUAAAUGAUGUAAUUAAUGGGACGACGAGGAAAUACAUCAACAACACACACUCAUGCGAAACUCCAAAACUCCUCUGCCACUCGUUGAGUCACACUGAUAACAGUUGCAUGGGUGAAUAGAAUAUUUGGGUCAUUCAUUGAUCAAUCAUCAUGACAACUAUUCAUCUUUCUUCCACUACGUCUUCUCUCUUCAAAUCUAAUAAUCUCAAUAAUCUCUCUUCCUCAAAUUUCAUCUCAUUUCAUUCUAUUAAGCAUCCAUCCAAACGCGUCCCCCAAAUAACCUCAUCCAACCAGUCUCCCACUCUCGUAAGUAUUAAUUCACUAUCUCUGACUCGGAGUUCAACUCAUCUAAACUUAUAUAUUUAAAAUAAGACAAAUUCAAUUUUCUAUUUGUUUAGGGAAAUGAUUACUACACAAACUCUUCUUCGCUUUAUGGUACGUGGCGAACAGGGGAAGGAUCAGAUGAACGAACUAAAACGAAGAUCGUGUGCACGAUUGGUCCAUCUACUAGCUCACGUGACAUGAUUUGGAAACUGGCUGAAACUGGAAUGAAUGUGGCGCGUUUGAACAUGUCACACGGGGACCACACUUCCCAUCAGAAAGCUAUUGAUUUUGUUAAACAAUACAAUUCUCAGUUUCAAGAUAGAGUUAUUUCCAUCAUGCUUGACACCAAGGUUAAAUUAUUCAUUGCAUUGCGUAAUAAAGCAGAGACACCGAACACAACACCGACACUAAGAUACUGAUAGUUAAAUGUAUUGAUGUAACAUGCUAGGUAUUGCGUGGUAUUAACUAAUUUUUAUUUGCAGGGUCCUGAAGUUAGAAGUGGGGAUGUGUCACAACCAAUUUUACUCAAAGAGGGGCAAACAUUCAAUUUUACCAUUAACAGGGGGGUUAGCACUCAAGAUACUGUUAGUGUCAAUUAUGAUGAUUUUGUUAAUGAUGUCGAGGUUGGAGACGUUCUUCUAGUAGAUGGUGAGUGUUUAUGGUACUCUGCUUGUAUUUGGAUUUUUGAAAUUAACCUCCAUUAUGUGUUUAUAAUUAAGUAUUUUAGACUGAUUUAUUUAAGGGUAAUGAUUCAAAUAUAGAAAUAAAUUAUUGGAAUGUGUGCUUUUUAUUUAGUCUUUUAACUUUUAAAUGCAUUGAAUGCACAAAAUUUUAGAGAACAUUUCUUCUUUUAAAUGUAAUUUAAGAAGACUUUGAUCUCUUCCCUUUGUUAUGUUAGGAGGAAUUAUGUCUCUUGUUGUUAAGUCAAAGACAAAAGACUUGGUUAAAUGUGAAGUUAUUGACGGUGGAGAAUUGAAAUCUAGGCGUCAUUUGAAUGUUCGCGGAAAAAGUGCAACACUUCCUUCCAUAACUGGUAUAAAUAAUUCUAUUGUAUUUUCCGUUGAUUGAUUGCAGAUAGACAAUAGGUUUCAGCUACUUAAUUGUAUGCACUUGACAAUUUUAUGCUACUUUGCCAUGUGUUUAACUUCACAGAAAAGGACUGGGAAGAUAUCAAGUUUGGGGUAGACAAUGAAGUUGACUUCUAUGCUGUUUCAUUUGUUAAGGAUGCUAGAGUGGUUUAUGAGUUAAAAGAAUAUCUCAAAAGUAAUUAUGUUUUUGCUAUCUAAUUUCCAUUUUAUGCUUGUUUAUCCCGUUGUGUGAAUCUGGUAUGCGCUUUUCUUAUUUCUUGAGGCAUUGAUUCUUUUAAGAACUAAUUUUAUAUCUUUUCCGUAGGACACAAUGCUGAUAUACAUGUGAUUGUAAAAAUUGAAAGUGCAGAUUCCAUACCAAAUCUUCAUUCCAUACUUUCAGCUUCAGAUGGGGUUAGUUCCUCAUUGUUCAAAUUAUAUAUUGUAUGCAUAUUUUAACCCCUUUUAUUAAACAUAUAAAAACUGGAGUUAAUUUUAGCUGUUCUAUACAUCAGUGUGCAUCCUAUGAACAUAGUCCUCGAUUAAGAAACUAAAAGCGAAACAUUUCAAGUUUAAAAUAUCGGUGUCAUUGUAUAACACACAAAUAGAAAAAUAUGAGUUUGAUGUAAGUUGAUCUGGCAGUCAAUUUUAUUUUUCAAGUUAUGAGCAAGUCUCAGAUUCUUACGGGGUGUUAGAAGAACAUAACUACAUCUUGAGCCUAUGACUAUAAACUACUAUAUUUUCCCCUUGUCUUAGUGUUGUGCAUUCACGAUAUGUUUUGCUUCACAGCAUGGUGCAUUAUAUGGAUGACGAUCACUAUCUUUCUUAACUUAGAUAGCCAUUUCGUGCAAUCGAGUUAUGGUGACAACUGUCUGAUAAUAUCAGACACACUACUUGCAUGGUUCAUCCAUCAAGUUGAAUCAUGGAAAAUGGUGGGUUUUUGGUGCUUGUUUGUUUCUGCACCAUUGCUGGCUGAUAGUUUUUUUUCUUCUUCUUACAAUAUCAAAAUGCAGCUAACUAGGUAUACUGAAGAUCUUAUUAAGAUUUAGAAAGUAUAUUGAUGUGAUUUCUACUUUAACAUUCAUAGUUGACCCUACUCAUACAGAUACCCAAAGAUAACCACAUUCUCUGUGCAGGCUUUGUAGUAGAUUUCGAUAGACUUGAUAAUGUACGAAACUGAAUCUGUUAGAAAAAUGCUAAAUUAGGAAAAUCUAUUGCACAUCUUUUAACCAAGUCUUGCUGAAAACUUCCCGUUACGGCUGAUUUAACAUUUGGUAUACCCUGAAUUGGCUUGAACCUUCUGACAGGUUUUCCAACACCCUCAGAGUUUGUAUUUUGGAGAAAGCCAUUAGUAAUCAUCUAAUUGUAUAUACCAAAGUAUUAUAUUUAUUUGUGCGUAGCAUCCAGUUUCAUCUUUUGAGUUAUAUUUUCGUAGGCAAUGGUUGCUCGUGGGGACCUUGGAGCUGAACUUCCGGUUGAAGAAGUUCCUCUACUGCAGGUAAUCUAUGCCGAUGCUCAGAACAUGAUACAUAUGCCAUUUUGGUGACAUGUAUGUAGGUUCUUUCAUCAGAUAAUCUACAAAAUAGGUUUGAUAAUCAUUAUUUUGGCACAUUUGAUUAGGGAUGCAGUAGCUUCAGUCACUGAGAAAAUCUAUUAAAAAUAGUAAUUUAAGUAGAUGUUCUAAAUUUCACUCUGUAGUCUCCUCGGUCUCAUUAUAAGCGGCGUUUAAGGUAAUGAGUAUUUCUUAAGAAAAUGAUUAUUAAUAUUGAUUUCUAUAGUAAAAUAAUAUUUUAAGACAAAAAUUAAUAUAGGAGUAGAUAGGUGGACAGACUAUUUAUAUAAAUGAGGGUAUUAUUGAAAAAAGAUAAUAAAUAUUUGCUUUGAUAUUCUAAAGUGACUAAAAAUUUGAGACGGAAAAAUUGAGAUGGAAAAAUAUUUCAAAUAUGGCACUCAUAAUAAACUGAUGGAGUAUCAUAUUGUUGUCUUUAAUUGUGUACAUCAAUUUUGCGGAAACCCCUUCUCUGCUGCCUGUAUAACUGUCACACUAAACGUUAACGAUGGUCUAGAAAGCAGUGAACUAAACGAUGGCCUUUCUCAACUGAGAGGUCUCACCUUUCAUAGAAGGCGUAAUAGAGCCUAUAGAACAAAAGAUUCAAAUACAUGUCUGUGUUUGUGGCUUUCUGUAAUUUUGGAACCAUAAAAAAUGUUUAUGAAGGAAUUCAUUGGAUAUCAUUGGUUGUUUAGAGUUUCAAUGUGAUAUGUGGAUUCCAUGUAAAAUUUUACACGAACUAGAUGGUGGAACUCUUACGAAUAGGCUUUCAAACUUUUAUUUCUGUUUCUCUGUUCUUGUAAUAAUUUUGCAAUUUCAAGUCUGCAUAAAUGAGAUUUUUCAUUUAAUAGCUGUUUUAUAUAUCUUUUCACUGAUAUUUAGGACGUAGGACUAUGUUUAACUCCAUGUUCUAUGUAGUUCAAUCCCGUUUUUAAUAAAACAGGAGGACAUCAUUAGAAGAUGCCACAGAAUGCAAAAGCCAGUUAUUGUGGCAACAAAUAUGCUUGAAAGCAUGAUUAUUCAUCCCACACCAACUAGGGCGGAAGUCUCAGACAUUGCAAUUGCAGUAAGAAAAGGGGCUGAUGCUGUCAUGCUUUCAGGAGAAACUGCACAUGGAAAGUGUGUUUGCUAUCCUCGGUGGCCAUGGUUCCUUUUUUAUUUUAUCAGUUCAAACAUGUUUUUAAAUUUCAUUUUUACUUCUUGUAAUGCAAAAGAUAUACUAUUUAGCUCAUUUUAGAUAAAAAAAGUGUCAUUAGAGAAGAGAAUGAAAUAAUAACAAGAAUGUGAUAUAAAAUAUCCUCUAAGGGAAACAAACAAAUAUAAGGAUAAAUAGAAUGGAACUUCAACUAAGCAAAGUUUGGGAAUUUCUCUGCAUGUCGAAAACGUGAAUUUGUCUGAAUCAACCUAGACAUUUUAAAAAGUAAAUAAAUUACAAUCUUAAAUGAUUUUUGGUGCUUUAUGACUGCAGACUUACCUUGUUCUGGAGAACAAUGCUUUCAGGAAAGAAAACUUCAUAAUGAAAAUUAGUCAUUUUGCGUCCUGUUAUGGCUACAAAACCUAAUUUGUCAUCUUUUUUAACAGAACACGUCUUUGCUGAUAAGUAUGCAUAUAAUGUAUUUCUUUUCCAAUAUUUUUAAUGUAAUAAAUUUAUUUUAAAAGGAUUACAACUGCUUCAGAUAUCCAUUGAAAUCUGUUAAGGUUAUGCAUGCGGUGGCUCUAAGGAAUGAAUCCAGUGUUUUAAGAAGUGAUUCUUAUCCAAAUCAUUUGAGCUUCCACAAGGUACUUAGUUAAAAAAUAAGCCUCGUUGUGACUUACAUAUGUAGUUCUGAAAUUCUAUUUCACAUGCUGCAUAGCGUAGAGGAUUUACCACCGUAGAUUUGUUUGUUAAUAUCCUAAAACCUAAUUAAUCUGUGUUUACAUUUUUGACAGAGCCAUAUGGGAGCAAUGUUUGCCUUCCAUGCAACAAUUAUGUCUAAUACUCUGAAUACUCCUAUUAUCGUGUUCACCAGAACUGGGUCCAUGGCUAUUCUUUUGAGUCAUUAUAGGCCCCACUCAACAAUAUUUGCAUUCACAAAUGAGUGAGUAUUAGCAGCAUGUAUUUAUUUAUUUUUUAUUUUUUAUUAUGUAGAUCCUAUAUGCAUCUAACCAGAAAAAUAAACGUCAGCCGAUGAAAUUAUGCAUGCUGUACCUUUUGUCCUCACCAUUGUUUAGGAGAAACAAACAGUACUUGUUAUGGCUUGAUCAUAUUAUAUUAUCUUGAGGUAAUAGGUGCUUAAGUCAACAAUCUUUUGGAUCUAUAACUUCUUAUUUCACUAUUACAGAGGAAGGAUUAAGCAGAGGUUGGGACUUUAUCAUAGUGUUAUGCCUAUAUACAUGCAAUUUUCAAAUGAUGCUGAGGAGACCUUUGCUAGAGCUCUCAAAUUACUAUUGGUGAGUGACAUCUCACCAAUUGCAUGCAUCUUCCUUUUUUUGAUGGAUAUUCUCUUAAAUGUUGGUGAAAGUUUUCUUCAUGCUGCAGAUUAAAGGUCACUUAAACGAGGGACAAUAUGUUACCCUUGUUCAAAGCGGUGCACAACCAAUCUGGCGUGAGGAAUCCAUUCACCACAUACAAGUUCGCAAGGUUCAUGGAUAAUAUUGUUGUUUAAAGAGUCUUUCUUUCUCACGAGUGUGCAAUAGCCUUUUCUUUUCCUCUCUCACUUGUAACUAAGUCUUGCUAUGAAUCAUAGUUUUGAUCGUUAUUAUGCAUGUGAGACAACAUGUUGAAUAGUUUAGGAGCUUUUGUAAUGCAAAUAAUGAUUUGUUUAUGAGAAUUGACUAUGGUUUUGAUGAAUUGUUUUUAUUUUACCACCUAUUUUCUGAAAUACUUGUCAUAAUGAUAUUAUUUUCUUCGAUGAAACAAAUUAUCUGAUCUAUUUCUUUUUUUGAAACCAUUUGGCAUGGAUUUUAUUUGAUACAAUAUUUCACUGUGACAUAAAAUUCAACCUAUUUGCAUUUUGAUUAUGCGUAAAUUAAUUCCACUUUUACUACGACAAAUUCCUAGGUUGUAUUGCUUACUGCUGGGGUAGUUUUGUUGUUACCUUUGAGUGCAUUCAGUAAAUUUCUUAAAUCGUAUGUUUAUGUUGUCCUUUUUGUAAGUGAUCUUGUACAAAACUUUUUUCUGUUAUAUAUAGUGUAACCGGUAUGAUUUAGUGCCUUAUUUUGUUCUUCCUAAGUGAUCUUAUGCAGAAUUAUUUGCCAGUCCACAAUAUUGUAGGAUGGCAUUAGGUAUGUUGCUGCCAAUUCGGAUUUCUUUGGUUUGAUUGUACCAAACAUUAAGGAGACAUCACAUGUUGGAAAUCCAAACAGCAUAUUUAACUCAAUAUUUAUCAAUGGAACUUACAAAUGGGAUAGAAGGGAAGUUUCUUGGGACCCUAAAACAGUCGCCGUCUCAUUGAGGUUUAGCUAACACAACUGGGCUUGAAGAACAUAAACUGAAAAUCAGAAGGUGUCCUAAUUACGAAUUAAAGUUGCUAGAGAAUCGGAGACUCGUGUAAGAAGGGCUUCACUUUCUGCAAACCUGCAAUGCAUUUCUUCCAAUAGAAGAUAAAAGCAAGAUUAUUUCUACCGGUUUCUACUGGUUGCUCCUUCAUUCUCUUAUUAGCAUUGCCUUUGAAUCAUGUUCCUUGCAAAUUAGACUUUGAAGCUACCUGGCUCAUCAUUCUCUUUGCGUUUCUCGCCCAGCUGUAUACUCUUGUACCACUUUGCACAUGCAAUAUAGGCAAUUAAGUCCAUCGAUGUCAAGGCGGCUAAGAGGAAGUAAAACCUAUCUAGGUGACCUUUAUUGAGGUUUACUGGGAUCCACCCCGGCAUGUGAUCCUCCGUAGAGAUCUUCAUAACUACACUGACAAGUAAGCUACUUACAUAGUUGCCAAGGGAAAUGGAUGUCAUGCAAAGUGCACUUCCGAAACUCUUUAAGCCAUCAGGUGUUUGAGCAUUGAAGAACUCUAACUGCCCUACAUACAUAAACACCUCAGAAGCUCCUAUAAGUGCAUACUGAGGGAUUUGCCAGAAGAUGCUUAAAGUACUCGAGCCUUUGCAGUGGCGGCAGUCUUGGUCUGCAUGCUUAAGUCUAUAAGAUUCAACUAUUCCAGCUGAAACCAUUGCUAUUACAGCUAUAACAAGUCCAACUCCCAUUCUCUGAAGCUCCGUAAGUCCCUUUGAAUCAGACUUUUUAAGUUUUCCCACAAAUGGAUCGAGAAUUCGACGAUAGAAGAAAAUAAAAACAGCUACGCUGAUGAUAUCAAAGCAAGACAUGCUAGCUGGUGGUACUCUGAAAUUGUAAACAGUGGUUUUCAUGGCAUCACCUUGCUCCACAAAAAGAGAAGCCAUUUGUGUGAAAACCACAGAGUAUAUUAUGGUGCAGAGCCAAAUCGGAAGGAGUCUCAGUAUGCACUUCACUUCUUCAACUUGACUUACAGGACAGAGACGCCAUGGGUUGGAACAGGUGCCUUUCUGGUUAUCAUGAUCUCUUGAAGAUAUAAUCGCUGCUCUAUCCAAGAACCUUCAUCACAAAAUAAAAAAAAUGGAAAAUUUAUCAAAUCAUUUUAGUUCAGUAGGAUCUAGAAUGGGCGAUAAUGCUGAAAAAAGUUAUUUUGUUCACAAUGUAGCAAAAUUAGCUAAAUAAUAUUGGAGAACUGUUUCAUGCUCGCAGCCUCGGCUAUAUGCACAUAAGAAAGUAUUGUGGUUUCAGCUGAAGGUAGCUUCUAUCACUUACUUGAACCCGUGUGUGUGGAGGAUUUUUCUGUUCACAUCGGUAGAAGACUCCUUUGUAUCCAUGUUGUACAAGUCGUCUCCAUUUGAUGGCAUUUCAACUUUAACUUUCCUUGAUGCAGCAACAAGGACUUGGCAGAACCUGGCAAGAGGGUUGCCACUGGGCUUGAAAUGUCGGUACUUUGGAGUGCCAACAAGAAACAGUAUCAGUGCGAUAAAGGCACAGCCUGCAGACAGCCAGAAGCCAAGAGCCCACAUUCCUUCAUCCUCGAAAUAGACGAGAAUGGUGUUUGAAAAGAGUUGCCCAAAGUUCAAAGCUAGGUAGAAGUAGCUAAAGAAGGCCACUUUAUUGUGACCCUCCUUUGAGUGCUCCUCGUCAAACUGAUCAGCCCCGAACGUGGCAAUAUUCGGUUGGUAUCCUCCAUUCCCCAAGGCAAUGAGAUAGAUCGAGAGAUAGAACAUCCCCAUCUCCCAACUUGAAUGUUUUCCACAUUGAAUUGAUUCAUUCCCACAACCUUUAGGUUUAAUCAAGAAGAGGUACGAUGACAGCGAUAAGGACAUCAGACCCUGUCAUAUUUAUCAAAGCCAAAAGAUUUUUUGAUCAGUCAAUGACAUAAUGUAGCAGCUAAAAAUAAAAGCGUGGAGAUGAAACUGAGAGGCGUUACUUACAAUUACAAAAAUGACCUGAAAGACAGCACAUGUUUUAUAUCUUCCCCAAUAAGAGUCACUUAGGAAAGCUCCCACUAGAGAGAAGAUGUAAACAGUUCCAGUCCAUUUGCUCACGUUGUUGGCGGCUUCUGCAUUAUUUUGUCCUACCACCCUUGUCAGGAAUACCACUAGGUUCACUCCAAUCCCAAAGAAUGCCAGAGUUGCCAGACAUUGGUUCACUGAUCCAUACAAUCAGAAUUACAAAAUAAUCAGCAUUAGCAGCCACCGUUUUGUUAUGUGUUUUUUUUUUUUUUUUUUUUUUUACGUCUUAUAUAUAUAUAUAUAUAUAUAUAUAUAUAUGUUGUUAUGGAUUCUGUUUUUGUAGCAUCUGUAUUAGGCUCUUCUUGCAGACUGAAAGAAUUUUGCACAAGGCAGCACAAUUCACUUAAGAUGAUUUACUAAAUUUGAAAAGAAAAAACAAUAUUGAUAGUAUUCAUAUUAUGUUAUCUAUAUGCAUGGUUUAGCUAAGUUAAAUUUGUCGAUCCUAAUCAGCCAUCACAACCAUUCUUUAAAGGGUUGUCUAUUUUGUCACCACCCUACAUAUGCACACACAAGAUAUUGCAACAAGUUUAUUUUAUAAUAUAUUGUUAGGUUACUUAGGUAUGAUUAGGUUUCCUUUAUUAUAAAAGCACAGUAAACACCAUCUUAUUAAUGGUUUCAGAGGCUGAUAACACUUCGGAAAACAGGUUUAGUGGAAAGAAAUCAUUCUUUAAAUUAAAUAAGUAUUUUAACUACUUUUUUCCAAAAGGAUUAUUGAUUUUCAUGCCAUGAAUAUUAUAUAUUACUUUCAUAUCAUGUAGCAUGAAGACACUUUUGUAUAUGGUCCAUUCUUUUUUAGUACCAGUAUAUAAGAGAAAAUUUAUUCUAUAUAACUCAAAGCAUAAAUUAUAUCAUUUUGAAUUUUAUUUUAUGUAAAUAAAAGAUAUUUUAUUUCCCUUCAAAAAAAAAAAAAAAGAUAUUUUAUUUUAAUAUUUUGCACAGACAAAAAUCGAUAUUAAUUUUGCAACAACGUUUUCUAGAUAUCAAUCACGUAAUAUACACUAUAUCAUUCAUUUGUUCACAUUCUUUCUCUCAGCACCAAACUAACUUACACGAAACAACCUAAAGAAGAUCAUAGAUAGUUAUAUGAUUGUGAUAGCAUGCAUCGUGCAUUAAUCAACUAACCCUCAAUAACUAUAGGUAGUUAGUAAAUCGUGAUCCUUUUGUAGGGUAAUUACCAAUUUACACUUCCAUUUUGGGUUAAUUAUUACUCAUUCUAGUCAUUUUAUAAGAGAUAAAUGAGUCAAUUUAUUGUAUUUGGUCAGCAUUUUGAAUAAAAUACAUCAUCAACUUUAAUUGACCUAGAUGGUCAUUUGGUUACAUGUCUAUUGUCCAUGACACAUGUCAUCCACCCAAGUAGUGCAAAAUCUUAUCACUGGUUACGUGUCUGUCAUAAACGUAUUUCUAUGAAUUGCAUGCUUCUUUUCUGCAUUUUGUCUUUUUUUAGUUACCUUAGUUCCCGAUCUCUUGUCUUUUGUUGAGGACAGCCAAAAGCCUCUAUGACUAUGAAUGAAUAUUCACAAAACUCUUUUCCUUUUCUUUUUUUUAAUUUUUAUUUUUAAUAAAAUUUUCCUUUUUUACACCAUAAAAAAGUAAAUCAAUCAUAAUCCUCAUGAUAAAUAUAUACAUCUAAAAUCACAUACAACUACUUAUAAAAUUAAGUAUCUAUAAUUAAUUGUAAUCUGUUUCCUUAAAAAAAAUGAAUGUAACACUUUUUAUAUAUAUACAAUAUAUCAAAAUUACUUGUUUUACAAGUAAGCAAUUAAACUCAAGGUUAAUGAGAUUCAUAAAAAGACGAAUUGUUUAAGUAAAACAAUUUCGAUUAGAUAUUAUUUAUCUUCCCGUCAAACUUUAGAUUAUAAUGUCCUUCCCUUAAAAAUGGAUGGUUAACAAACAUCAAUUUUUUUUUACUUAUUUUAUUAUAUAUAUUCAAAUAUUUAUUUACUCCCACAAUAAUUCUUUAACAUUUUUUUCUUAUAUUCCCCAAAUAAGUAAGUGUCAAGCAAUGAGUUUAAGCAUGUGAAUUCGGUGGAUAAAGUAGAAUUAGCUGGCACUGGCAUACUCUUCCUCCCAAGUUUGCAUGCAACAAAGCUGACAAAAAUGUUACUUUGAAUUAUGUAUGCCAAAUGGAAAACGUUCCAAAACUUUGGUUUUUCCUUUUAUACAUAAAACUGAUAAGCUUGAAAAAGUUGCAACAACACAACACAAAAAGUAACUUCACCUUUCAUUUACUACUCCUUAUGAUAAGCUAUCUAAAAUUACAUGCAAACGAUAUAAACACAACCGAGUCAUUCAUGAAUUUAUAAUUAACCUUUUUUGUUUUUUUUCAACUAACGACGAGGUUUCUCAAACCUCUACGCCACCAACACCAACACCUUUCUCCAGCUAUCAUAAACUAUACGUAUACGCAAUCAUAUACAUAUAUGUAUUUGCAUGUGUAUUUUUUUCCUCAAAUUCCCGGGAAUCAAUAAGCUUUAAGAACAAGAUCAUUGACAACUUAUACUACUAAUGUAUAUAUAUCUCUUAUUGAUAAAGAUUUAUUGUUUUUUUUUUUUGUAAGAAAAGUGGAACAUGUGUUACAUAUAUGUAUUAUUUGCAUUAUAUGGAAACAAGCAUUUUUGUUUUUGUAAUUAAUUUGAGUAAGCGCAGUUCAAAUGAUAAAAAGUUGCGAGACAUUUGAUAUGUAGAAGCGCAAAUUCUAAUCAACAAUGUUCAAGUUCUUCACAUUUAGUGUGUGUGAGUUUAGUUACCGAACUAUUUGCCAAUAAAAGAAUACAAAAUAUAUAGUAAAAUAAAGUUAAUAUGCUAAAAUAAAAACUUUGCAAUUUAUAUAUGUUUGUGGAGCUUACAGAGUAUAAUGGUUCCAGCUGACCAUCUUCCAGAUUUGGCUCUUAUUGCAGGACGGCCAUUGAAAUCAACACUUCCAUCUAGAGUCAACUCUUCUGAUUCUGAUUCAAAAUCUGUUUCUUCCUUGAACUUGUUCUGCAGAGUUUUGAAAAUAAAAAAAAAAAAAUAAUUACAUUUUUAGUGUUUAUUUAUUUAUACAUAACUUAUAUUCAUUGUUGAUGAGACUGAUAUGUGCAUGCUCAAAAUAUGUAUUUAGUGAUCAAACAAAGUAUUUAAUGAGGAAUAAAUAAAUAUAUAAUGUACAUAUUUGGUAAUGUAAUUUUUAUUUUAUUUAUACUAACCUCUUUAGAGACUUCUAACUCUAAGCAAGACAUUGUUGAAAUCAAAGAUGUUGAGAUUGAGAUUAUGGGUUUGAAACAAAUUAAAAGUUGAGGGUAGUUUACUCUAGCAGAGGAAAGUGAAGGGUGAAGAGAAGAACAAAAGUUGUUACACAAAGACAAUUUAAGGUGGAGAGUGUGGGAGUGAUAUUGAAUAAAUAGAGGAAGGGUGUGUGGAAUGAACGGUGUAGAUUUAAGUGUCCACAUGGCAUAAUCAUCCAAAAGGACCUAAACUGCGUGACAAAGCAAGAUUUGAUAAAUAUCAUCAAUCGAGGUUGAAUGAAAUAGUAGGUAUUUAGGUUGUGUGUUAAAUUAGUAAGGAUUUCUUAUAAUUUUAUUUUAUGAAUUUUAGUAUAUUAAUAGAUGUAUUCAUCAACAAGGUGUGAGUUUAUGGAUUAAAGUUUGACACUGUAGUCUCAAGAAAGAAAGUUUAAUUUCUCACAAGAGUUGUAAAAUUGAUAUUAAUUAACUAUCAAUCCACCUAACAAAACAAAAAUCAAAAUUUAGUAUUAGUCACGUCUAAACGGUGGAUGUUUCACCUAUUGUAAUUAUAGAAGAAACCUUUAAUUUUAGAUUUGAUUUAAGACAAAAUUAUCAAAAGUUUCACCAAAUUCAUAAGAGAACUUCGAAGAUGUCUUUAUUACCAAAAACAACAUGAUUACAUCUCUUUUAAAUAACUCACCAUCUAACUAUCUAUAUCGCAUGAAAACACUUCACUUUUUCUUUUCCCAUAAGAAACCAAAUCAAUAAAUUGAGUAGCAUAAGUAGAAUUGUAGACUUACAAAAACAUAACUAAUGCUUAAUUAAGACAAAACAUCCGACCAUAACUUACAAUAUACAUGACAAUAAAAAAAUAAAUGUUUAUACGUUUAAUUUAUGAUACAUCCUUCUACGCACUUCUGAUGCCUAGUCAAGCAUGGAUUGAUUGAAAUUGUUUGUGCAUGCAUUUUUCAAUAAAAUGUAUAAUUUUGCGGUUAAAUAAAUAACAUAUGAAUGAAAGAAUAUUUAAUCUUUAAAAGAGAAAGUUUAGUUUUUUUCUUGAUAAAUUUUAUAUAUAAUCAAGAAAACAUAGUAACACCAAGAACAAGACCUUUCCCUCACAAAAAAAAAAAAAACAAGAAAAAACCUAUAAUUUCAAUCCACGAAAACAAUAUGCAUAUUUGUCUCUUACUGUUGGAUAUUAGUUCGAUCUUGACAGUUUUCAAGCACUUAUUUUAAAUGCAUUCCAAAUUGGCACACCCACUUUAACAAAUUAAAGCGAAAAAUUGAACCAUUUUAAAUAUAAAAAGUUUGUUUACGUCUGCCUUAUCAUAUACGAUAAAGAACUAAAAAGAAAAUUCUUCGAUAGAGUAUAAUACAAUAAUGUAAUAGUAGUAAAAUAAAAAAAAUAAAAGCAAUUGGAUUGUUUAAAUAAUGAAUAAAAGUGUUUAAUAGCUCUUCAUUUAUAUUUGUUUAAAAAACUCUGCACAUUUACGGUUUAAAAAUACUUUACACAUGAGUCUAAUUAUAUAUCAUUGUGUGCACUACUAGAAAAAUUAAAUUUAGAGAGGGUACAAAUUUGUCAUUGAAGCUGAAGAAUUAUCUAACAAAUGAAUUUAAUGGUAAGAGAAAUGCUAACAACUUUCACUUUUGAACCCUCUUUUUAACAUUCACUUUUUUAUUGGAUUAAAUUAUUGUGUGUCCCAUCAUUUUGUGUGGGUUCUAUUUUCAAAAUGUAGAUACACAAUGAUUUAUACCAAUAAAAGAGAACAUAUUAGAGAGAAUGUUCAAAAGAGAGUGUUGCUAGCACUACUCUUAGCGGCAGAUUAAGCGAUACAUUUGAGUUUGUGACGAUAAUGGGCGCCUUGCAUAGCGACGUGUAUGCAAUAAUAGCAUUAGCACAAAGAAAAAUGUUAGGAACAUACUCUUUUUAACACUUUCUUAUUGGAUGAAAACUACGCGGGUCUCACCACUUUAUGUAAGGUCCAUUUCUAAAAUGUGAUAUCCACAUAGAUUUCACCAAAUAAAAGAGAGAGUGUUACAAAAAGAAACGUCCAUAACACCCUCUUUGCACAAAUAUUUACGUAGUUGUUUACGUAAACCCUUAUAAAUAAAUAAUAGGGAAAUGCUAACAUGUAUCAUAAUCUUUAAAAAAAAAAAAGUGUCAUAAGGACACAUGUUAAGAUGCUAAAGAUGAAAAUUAUAAAUAAUAAUAUCGAUCAAAUAUUAAUUAAUGAUUAGUAAUAUUUAUUGAAUUUUUAUGCCCCAGAUAAUUGGACUGGGACCUUGUCGUCUAAGUGCCUGUUUGUUUGAGCGGUGACCCACCGCUACAGUACGUUUUCACCCAUUUUCACCGUGAUAAUGAAAAGUUAUUAGUUAUAGCUUCUUAUCGAACGUGAUUGUUGGCCGUGAUAUUGUUAAUUUCCAAACACAUGCUAAAAUGCUUGAGUACUAUAUAUGAUAAGAUAAUUAAGGUUAGCCCAAUAAACUUGUCAACUGCCGGUAUUCUAUCCAUAUACAUCAAACUAAACUCUAAUUCAUACUACUAAGUACUAAGGAAGGAGUUAAUAAGUUUCACAAAAUAAUAAAUUAUUUUGGAGAAUUUAAGUUUGAUUUUUUGAUGAAAUAAUUCUUAAUCAGACUUUACUUACUUUUGACUGAACUUUUGAUUAAUUACUAGAGUCACCUUUUCCUAAAAAUCAGAGUAUUAACAACAAAAACUCUUAUCCAUAUACGACUUCUUUUUUUUCCUACUUAAUUUUGAGUAAUAUGAAUUCCAACCUACCCUUAAAAAGAAAAGAUCAAAAGAUGAAGAAUUCCAACUAGCUAAUUAACGUACGUUUAAAAGUUAAUAAUUUCUUAUCACGUGUUCAAAUUUUUAUAUACAUGUAUUGAACACUAAAUCCAAUAUUUAGCACUAAAUAUUCGAUUGGAUCAAAAGUAUGUCUCUAGAUAUAAUUAACCUUUUCAAUUCAACGUCUCUAAGCUCACAAUCGAGUUGUCUUUUCAAUUGAGCAUUUAUAUUACCAACUUGCAUGAUUAGUAUUUGUGAGGCUCUUGCUAGCUACUUUAACAAAACUGAUCCAACAUAUUUAUAAGAUUAAAUUUGUUUUAUAUGCUGAUUCUGAUUUUCUAUUCUCUCACGUUAUCUUUAAACUGCAAUUAAUGAUUAGGCAUUGCUUUGAGCAUAAAAUUUAAGUAAACCCGGCCUGGAAGUAAUUAACAAGCCGUAAUAUGAGGUGUUUAAAAUUUGAUCGUAAAAAAACAAGAUGGAUUCCAUAAAAAUAAAAAUAAAAAUAAAAACAAAAACAAGAUGGACAAUAUAUUUUAUCAGAUACAAUAUGAGAGGCCUUUUGUUUAGGAAUCUGAGAGAUAAUUUAUAGGGAAUUGCUUCAUCUCACGAGAGAAUAAGAUCCCUGCAAAAUAUGUCUCGUACGUUUGGUUCUUGUAAUUUUUUUUCUUCAAUUUUUCGUCUUCAGUUUUUUAAAAAAGUUCCUGGACCUAUUAACCUUAAUUUCCAUUUUUUUAAAUUGAUUUUUUAUUAAUAGGAAUGCCACAUUAGAUGCUAAGUGGCCACUUAUACACAAUCAGCGUGCACCACGUUAGCAUCAGAGUGCCACGUUGCAGCUUCAAUGGGCCCAAGGAUUUUUUAAAAAAACAAAAAAAUUUGUAAGGACGAAAAACAACAUUUUUUUUUAGGUUUAAAUGUGUCAUUGGUCCCUUCACUUUCAUCAGAAUUUGGUAUUGGUCCCUGCACUUUUUUUUGUUUGGCAUUGGUCCAUGUACUUUGUAAAAAUAUUGGUAUUGAUCCCUCUAUUAACUUUCUGUUAAAAAAAACACAAAACUAACGGAGUGCCACGGGGCCCAAUCAUUUCACGCUACGUGGCACCAAUAUCAAUAUUUUUCAAAGUGCAGGGACCAAUACCAAUAUUUUUACAAAGUGCAGGGUCCAAUACCAAUACUUUUGUGUUUUUUUAACAUAAAGUUAACAGAGGGACCAAUAUCAAUAUUUUCACAAAGUGCAGGGACCAAUUCCAAACAAAAAAAAGUGUAGGGAUCAAUGCCAAAAUCUGAUGAAAGUGCAGGGACUAAAGGCAUAUUUAAGCCUUUUUUUUACAAGGACCAAAAUCCAACCAAGGCAUAUUUGCAACGGAGGGGAGUGUAUAUUUUAACAUAAGAAGGGAUGAGAGUGUAAUUCAAGCUUCUCAUAAGGGAUGGAUGUGUAAUUUACUAAAAAAUGUAAGGGUGUGAGAGAAA
rnacentral:lncRNA from 1 species